CUUAUUGAGAGUUUGAUUCUGGCUCAGGAUGAACGCUGGCGGCGUGGAUAAGGCAUGCAAGUCGAAUGCCACACCAAUUCAGCUUUUGUUGUAGAAUAUAAGUAUGUAUUACGUUUAUAUUCUGAAAAGUAAAAAGAACGGACGUUUGUAUACAGGUUUUACCAAUGAUCUGAAACAGAGAUUUGAAGAUCAUCAGUCAGGUAAAUCGCCGUAUACAAAAAACAACCGACCGUAUGUACUUGUGUACUACGAAGCUUACUUUUCAGGAAAAGACGCGCGUGUUCGUGAACGAAUGUUGAAACUUCGUUCCAAUGCGAGUCUGCAAUUGCGUAAACGAAUUGCUGAAUCUAUCAACGAAGGUUAGAUUGGUGUGGCAUGGCAAACGGGUUCGGAUAACAUAGGAAUCUUCCCUAAAGUCGUGAAUAAUCCAGAGAAAUUUGGAAUAAUGCGCGAUAUGCUCUACGGAGUAAAGAUUUAUCGCUUUAGGAGGAGCCUGUGUCCUAUCAGCUUGUUGGUGA
rnacentral:rRNA from 1 species